rnacentral:rRNA from 1 species
AUUGAACGCUGGUGGCAGGCCUAACACAUGCAAGUCGAGCGAGCGGCGGACGGGUGAGUAACGUAUGGGGACUGCCCGAUAGAGGGGGAUAACUAUUGGAAACGGUGGCUAAUACCGCAUACUAUCGGCUAUCCCAUAUGGGAUUAGCUAGUAGGUGGGGUAAAGGUUCACCUAGGCGACGAUCUCGAGCUGGUCUGAGAGGAUGAUUGGCUACACUGGUACGUAGACACGGGCCAUAUCGCAACGGAGGUGACAGGGGGGAAUUUGGCACAAUGGGCGCAAGGCUGAUGGAGCAAUGCCGCGUGUAUGAAGAAGGCCAUAAGGUUGGAGAGUACAUUCAGCAGGGAGGCGUUACCCGAAGAAGAAGCACCGGCUAACUCCGUGCCAGCAGCCGCGGUAAUAC